CGUGACGGCUGGCCCCGCCUCUUCCUCUCGGUCCCAUAUUGAACUCGAGUUGGAAGAGGCGAGUCCGGUCUCAAAAUGGAGGUAAAACCGCCGCCCGGUCGCCCCCAGCCCGACUCCGGCCGUCGCCGCCGCCGCCGGGGGGAGGAGGGCCAUGAUCCAAAGGAACCAGAACAGUUGAGAAAACUGUUUAUCGGUGGUCUGAGCUUUGAAACUACAGAUGAUAGCUUAAGAGAACAUUUUGAGAAAUGGGGCACACUUACAGAUUGUGUGGUGAUGAGAGACCCCCAAACAAAACGUUCCAGGGGCUUUGGUUUUGUGACUUACUCUUGUGUUGAAGAGGUGGAUGCGGCAAUGUGUGCUCGACCACACAAGGUUGAUGGGCGUGUAGUGGAACCAAAGAGAGCUGUUUCUAGAGAGGAUUCUGUAAAGCCGGGUGCCCAUCUAACAGUGAAGAAAAUUUUUGUUGGUGGUAUUAAAGAAGAUACAGAAGAAUAUAAUUUGAGAGACUACUUUGAAAAGUAUGGCAAGAUUGAAACCAUAGAAGUUAUGGAAGACAGGCAGAGUGGAAAAAAGAGAGGAUUUGCUUUUGUAACUUUUGAUGAUCAUGAUACAGUUGAUAAAAUUGUUGUUCAGAAAUACCACACUAUUAAUGGGCAUAAUUGUGAAGUGAAAAAGGCUCUUUCUAAACAAGAAAUGCAAUCUGCUGGAUCACAGAGAGGUCGUGGAGGUGGAUCUGGCAACUUUAUGGGUCGUGGAGGAAACUUUGGAGGUGGUGGAGGUAACUUUGGCCGUGGUGGAAACUUUGGUGGAAGAGGAGGCUAUGGUGGUGGAGGUGGUGGCAGCAGAGGUAGUUAUGGAGGAGGUGAUGGUGGAUAUAAUGGAUUUGGAGGUGACGGUGGUAACUAUGGCGGUGGUCCUGGUUAUAGUAGUAGAGGAGGCUAUGGUGGUGGUGGACCAGGAUAUGGAAACCAAGGUGGUGGAUAUGGUGGCGGUGGUGGAGGAUAUGAUGGUUACAAUGAAGGAGGAAAUUUUGGAGGUAACUAUGGUGGUGGUGGGAGCUAUAAUGAUUUUGGAAAUUAUAGUGGACAACAGCAAUCAAACUAUGGACCCAUGAAGGGGGGCAGUUUUGGUGGAAGAAGCUCGGGAAGUCCUUAUGGUGGUGGUUAUGGAUCUGGUGGUGGAAGUGGUGGAUAUGGUAGCAGAAGGUUCUAAAAACUCAGAAGAAAAGGGUUGAAUGAGAACCCUACUUGCCUAAAUGAGGAAUGUCUUUCCUACCAUCUUAAAUACGAAGGUUUCUGGCUGGGACUGAAUUUCUACACACCACCAUAGAAUGAAGUGUUGAAUAAGGUAAAUAGCCUUUUAAUGAUAAUUUUUCUUUACAACAUGGUUUUUAAUGAAGCAAACUUCUAAGAUAGGAAAUAUUUUCUUUUUUUAAGGCAUUGUUCUUUUCCAGUUCAUCUCAUUUCUUUAUGAAAUAAAGUGAUUUUACUUAAAUGUAGUUCCACUGUCAUUUCUGAAAAAUACGAUGCUCUUAAGUCAUAACACCAGUAAAGGAAGGAAGUUAUACAAGGGAGAAAUGGUCAAGGCAAACCUUAACUCAUUUUGUCAAAGCAACUCAUAGGUUACAGCUUCCCACAGUACAUUUCUUCUGGAAAAGCUCAUUUUACACUCAUGCCCUAAAGAACAAAAACUAUCUGGUAACAAAGACCAUAUUUGUUAAGGAACUGAACAGUUGAAAUACACUUGGUUUUAAGAGUUCUAAUAUGUAAGUCACCAUUUGGAACAUUUCUAAUUAAAUGCCAGUAUCUUGGAAUUCCAGUCAUUGAUGUCACAAAGUUAGUGAGUAAGCAUGCUAAUGUGCAGGGGGUAAUUAAGGAUUGUUAGCCUAUAUAAAUAUUCAAGAUUACUUUUAAAUCUCAAUGUUUUACUCUGAUUUAUAAAACUUAAGAGGUGGUCUGUAAUGGAUUCAAAUGUUUCAUUUGUAGUAUAAUGAAAUGUUUACAGAAAGAUAACUUUUUCAUUAAAAUAUUUUU